rnacentral:rRNA from 1 species
GACGAACGCUGGCGGCGUGCUUAACACAUGCAAGUCGAACGGAAAGGCCCUGCUUUUGUGGGGUGCUCGAGUGGCGAACGGGUGAGUAACACGUGAGUAACCUGCCCUUGACUUUGGGAUAACUUCAGGAAACUGGGGCUAAUACCGGAUAGGAGCUCCUGCUGCAUGGUGGGGGUUGGAAAGUUUCGGCGGUUGGGGAUGGACUCGCGGCUUAUCAGCUUGUUGGUGGGGUAGUGGCUUACCAAGGCUUUGACGGGUAGCCGGCCUGAGAGGGUGACCGGCCACAUUGGGACUGAGAGACGGCCCAGACUCGUACGGGAGGCAGCAGUGGGGAAUAUUGCACAAUGGGCGGAAGCCUGAUGCAGAAACGCCGCGUGCGGGAUGACGGCCUUCGGGUUGUAAACCGCUUUCGCCGGUGACGAAGCGUGAGUGACGGUAAUGGGUAAAGAAGCACCGGCUAACUACGUG